rnacentral:rRNA from 1 species
UACGGGGGGGGCAAGCGUUGUUCGGAAUUACUGGGCGUAAAGGGCUCGUAGGUGGCCACCUAAGCCAUGCGUGAAAUCCCUCGGCUUAACCGGGGAACUGCGUCUGAUACUGGAUGGCUUGAGUUUGGGAGAGGGAUGCGGAAUUCCAGGUGUAGCGGUGAAAUGCGUAGAUAUCAAGAGGAACACCUGAGGUGAAGACGGGUUGCUGGGCCGACACUGACGCUGACAGCGCGAAAGCCAGGGGAGCAAACGGG